rnacentral:rRNA from 1 species
AUUGAACGCUGGCGGCAGGCUUAACACAUGCAAGCCGAGCGGAGAUGAGGUGCUUGCACCUUAUCUUAGCGGCGGACGGGUGAGUACUGCUUAGGAAUCUGCCUACUAGCGGGGGACAACAUUCCGAACGGAAUGCUAAUACCGCAUACGUCCUACGGGAGAAAGCAGGGGAUCUUCGGACCUUGCGCUAAUAGAUGAGCCUAAGUCGGAUUAGCUAGUUGGUGGGGUAAAGGCCUACCAAGGCGACGAUCUGUAGCGGGUCUGAGAGGAUGAUCCGCCACACUGGGACUGGGACACGGCCCAGACUCCUACGGGAGGCAGCAGUGGGGAAUAUUGGACAAUGGGGGAAACCCUGAUCCAGCCAUGCCGCGUGUGUGAAGAAGGCCUUAUGGUUGUAAAGCACUUUAAGCGAGGAGGAGGCUACUGAGACUAAUACUCUUGGAUAGUGGACGUUACUCGCAGAAUAAGCACCGGCUAACUCUGUGCCAGCAGCCGCCGUAA